AAUUAACUGUGAUACACGUGCUUCUAUUAUUGCGCUGACCGAACAUCUAUUUAUAGGGGUUCAAAAGAACAAGUGGAUGACAUGCCUUUUCAUUUGGUAGUCAGAAACUUGUUUGGUGAACACCCACCUGAACAUUUUAUGGUUCAGCCAACAUAGAUCUUAACACGGUAUCUACGGUAUUCU
rnacentral:other from 1 species